rnacentral:lncRNA from 1 species
CACACAGAUGCAGAGGUGAGGUGGCCUUGGAAAAAAGAGGAGGACUGGGUGGAGGGCGUCUUGCUGUUGACUCACAGGGGCUUGACCAGACUUCCUCCCUUUUUCUACAGUUUUGGUGAACUUGAGUAAACUGUACAUACUGCUACAUUUUCCUCCUUCCUUUUCGACUAUUAUCACAGACAUUUGAGCAGUGAGAGAAGGUCACAGGGGGAACAGCUCACAAGCAAUCCUGUUUUUGAGUUUUCUAGGCAGGAUCUUGUUAGAGGCUAGCCUGCUUAUGCAUUCUCCAGCACCUCCCUUAGUACCCAUUUCCCUUAAAUGCUCUGCUAAAUUUUUGCAUUUAAAUUUCCAUUUCCUGUAUGUUUUACAUGCUGAUUUUUAAAAUGUCCCUUGGGCAUUUGCCUUUCUUCCCAAUGUUUUAUAUAUCUUCUGAACCACCUGUGCCUAUCACAAGGCUACCAUUACACAGAGCAUUAAAACAAAUACUGUUGCAACACUGCACGUUAGUGGGCUCCUGAAAGGAGGCACGUUCCCCUCACCAUCCCCGCGUGUCUCUGAGUUGCCUGCUGCCUUUGUCCAAAUGCAUGUGUGUUCAGCUAGAACACCACUUGGUAUCAUACCCCGGUGACCACUUACCAUCACAUGUUACAUGUUCUCUAUUUUUUUACAGUCUUUGGGUUUAUAAGAUUUAGCCACUACACAAUGUUCCCUCAACAAAGUAGAUUAGAUUGUGUUGAUAUCUUGAUUUAUAUUUCUGUUUUUUUCCAUGUAACUAAAAAAAAUUUUUCCCUGUCUUUUGAAUCAUUGUUUAGAGUAUGUUUCCAAAAAGACAUAAACAUUUUUACACCUUUGGUUAGUUACUAUGUAGUCAUUACUUUUCAAAAGGUUUGGAUAAGUUUCCACAGCUCUCUAAUACACAGCAUACAUACAUAGUGUACAUAUCGAAGUACAUUACUCAACACACACACAUUGACUCUUUUGUUUUCUUAACAGCAAACCCAUGAGGAAUCACCAUAAUUAACUUCAUAUUUAUAGAAGACACUAAGAGCCACAGAGGUUAAGUAAUUCUUUGUCAGAUGACCAAUGUCCCUUUUGGGGCGUCUUUGGCUUCAAGUGCCUGCUGUACCCAGUUCUUCCCUGGUUUCAGUGAGUAAUUGAUGACUCUUUGUCUAUCCUGUACUUCUUCAGCUUGUGUCACAGUGCAAGAAGGAAUGUGGAGUCAUAAACAUGGGAUCAACUUAUAGCUCUGCACUUACUAGCUGUGAGAUGCUGAGUAAGCUGCUGAACCUUGCUAAGCCUCAGUUUCCCCAAAUGUAAAAUGGGAUAAUACCUACAUCAUAGGCUUAUUUGAAGGAUUUAAAUUGAAAUUCAGCUCAGCAAAGAAACUUACAUUUUUAAAAAAUGCUAUUAUUUUUUCACUUAAAGAAAGUUUUUUUUUUUUGUCAUUAUUCCUUGUAUUAUUUUCCAGAGCAAACUAGCAAAUGUCUAGGAGUCUUUAUUAUAGUUUAGUAUGUAGAUUUCCUUCUCUAUUGUCAAUCAGCAAUCUAGAACUUAAUUUAAUUCAAUGCUGUUAGUAAGGAUUUUUAAUUAUUAGUAUUAACACAUUCUAAUUGUACAAAUUAAUGAAUUUCACUGUGACAUUUACAUACAUGCAUAUGUUGUGCCUAUAGAAUUUUUUUUAUUUUAAAAAUUUGUUCUAAUUAGUUAUACAUCAUAGUAGAAUGUAUUUUGACAUAUUAUAUAUAUAUGGAGUAUAACUUUUCAUUCUUCUGGUUGAUGUAGAAUUACAUUAGUUAUAUCUAUGAGAAUUUUUAUGUAAAAUAUUUAUAAGUAAACUAGAAUUUUAUCAAAACAUUUAAAUAAUGAUUGUAAUAAUUAUAAAAGCUACAGAUACAUUGUUUAGAAAUUUAUUAAAUAAGCUUAAACAGGCAUGUUUAUUUUUAAAUUAUAAGCAAUAUUCAACAUUUAUAUAUUAUAAAUCAAAACUAUAAAUAUAAAUUUAUUUAAAAUAAAACUUUUAUCAGGCACAGUGGUACACACCUGUAAUUCUAGCAUCUCAGGAGGCUGAGACAGGAGGAUUGUGAGUUCAAAGCCAGCCUCAACAACUUAGCAAUGCCCUAAGCAACUCAGUGAAACCCUGUCUCUAAAUAAUAUAUAAAAAAGGGCUGGGAUGUUUUGUUUAGUGGUUAAGCACCCCUGAGUUUGAUCCCUGGUACCAAAGCAAAACAAAACAACAACUUAUACCAUUAACAUUCAUAAAACUAAUAUUUAAAAUAUUUCUUAAAAGCAAUAAAUUAUGAGUUAAUUUAAUAAGCACAGGUUUAUGAAUGUCAAUGCUUUUAAAAUAAGUAUGUCUGCCUCUAAGGACCUUAUAAAUAAGUUAAUCAUGAUGCAGUAGAAAGCACUGUCCUCCUACUCUGAAGACCUGGAUUUGAAAACUGGCUUUGACACUUGAUAUGAAACCUUUUGGGGGUUCCACUUCUUCAUCAGUAAAAGUACUGUAUAGAGUACUUGCAUAUAAAUAUAAAUAUAUAUAUAUAUAUAUAUAUAUAUAUAUAUAUAUAUACACACAUACUUGAAUAUAUAAAUAUAUAUAUAAAUGUAUAUACACACAUAUAUAGUGAUAUAUAUAUAUAUAUAUAUAUACACACACACACACACACAUAUAGAUAAUACUUGAUGCAUAUAUACAGAGUACUUAAAUAUAUAUAUAAUCCAGUAAGGCAUUGUAUCUGAAAACAAUCACCAAAUUUCGAUACAUUUAAAAAGAGAUGUUUAAAAUUUCCUGAUCUUUUUGGAAUGCCAAAACCAAGUCAUGUGCUAGUUAUGCCACCCAAAAGUUCAUAGAACUGUAGUACAUACACUCUUAAGUCCUCCAGGAGUUAGAAAAGGUAAAUGAAAUUAAAAUGUGAAGCUACCAAUUCAAACAUGAGAAAACAUCACACAGGAGAAAUAUUUCUCCAUAGUUUCCAAAUGUCUCUGAAGGUCAACUUCAUACUGGAAAUGAUCCCAAAAGUAUGAGCUCUAGAGGGUUCAAAUCUAAAUCAAUCAUAAUAACAGUGAUUUCAACAGGAGGGAGGGGGACAGACAAUGGGAGGGAGGGAACCAAAUGUGCUACAACCUGUGACUCUAUAUAUUGGAACAAUUUGGAGACCUGCGCCGAAUUCGGGUAAAGUUAUGAAUGGAUCAGAGGCAAGUUAUGGGUUAGGUCCCUUCAAAAUUCAUGUGCUGAAGUCCUAAUCCAUGUAGUACACCUCAUGAAGUGGAUGUAUUUGGAUGCAGAGUUUAAAGUGGUAAUAAAAUGACAUCAUACGAUGCACUCUAAUGCAAUUUGACGGGCACCCUUAAAAAGAGAUUAGGAUAAAAAUACAUGCCUAGGGAAGACAACGGGAAGAGACAGGGAGAAGACAGCUGCCUACCAGCCAAGAGGGGAGGCCUCAGAAAGAAUCAACCCUAUCUAUACCUUGAUUUCAGACAUCUGGCUAAGAAGAGGCUUGAAGAAAUGAAGGAAAAAAUUUAUUAUAUAAGCCACCCAGUCUGGGUACUUUGUUAUGGCAUCCUUACAAAGUAUUCUAGCAAAUAAGAGCCUCAAUGUCAAUGGGAAGGGCUUUAGGGGCAGAAGUCAGUCAGCGUAGAAAAGAUUGCCAAAUGGAUUGAGAGGGUGCUGCAGUGACCAGCGACAAAGGUAGGGUUUGCACAACAGCACUGAGCAGGCAUUGAGGACAUAAAGGUGUACAAGAUGCUGUCUUACCCUCAAGGGCUCCCCAAGCCUAGGAGGGGAAAGGUAAAUAAGUAAUAUUUAAGGUGGUAGUAAAGAUUUAGGAUAUCUCUAUAGUAUAGUUUAAAGUCUGGUAUUGGGAUGCCUCCUGCUUCACUUUUCUUGCUAAGGAUUGCUUUGGCUAUUCUGGGUCUCUUAUUUUUCCAAAUGAAUUUCAUGAUUGCUUUUUCUAUUUCUAUGAAGAAUAUCAUUGGGAUUUUAAUAGGAGUUGCAUUAAAUCUGUAUAACGCUUUUGGUAGUAUGGUCAUUUUGACAAUAUUAAUUCUGCCUAUCCAGGAGCAUGGGAGAGCUUUCCAUCUUCUGAGGUGUUCUUCAAUUUCUUUCUUUAGUGUUCUGUAGUUUUCAUUGUAGAGGUCUUUCACCUCUUUUGUUAGAUUGAUUCUCAGGUUUUUGGUUGUUUUUUUUUUUUUUGAGACUUGUGUGAAUGGGGUAGUUUUCCUAAUUUCUCUUUCAGUGGAUUCAUUGCUGAUGUAUAGAAGUGCAUUUGAUUUAUGGUGUGAUUUUAUAUCCUAUUACUUUGUUGAAUUCAUUUAUUAGUUCUAGAAGUUUUCUGGUGGAACUUUUUGGAUCUUCUAGAUAUAGAAUCAGGUCAUCAACAAAAACUGAUAGUUUGAGUUUUUCUUUACCUAUUUGUAUCCCUUUAAUUUCUUUCUUUCUGUCUAAUUGCUCUGGCUAGAGUUUCAAGGGUGAUGUUGAAUAGAAGUGGUGAAAGAGGACAGUCUUGUCUUGUUCCAGUUUUUAGAGGGAAUGCUUUAAAGUUUUCUCCAUUUAGAGUGAUGCUGGCCUUGCAUAUAUAGCUUAUACGAUCUUGAGGUACGUUCCUACUAUACCUAGUUUUUCUAGUGUUUUGAACAUGAAGGUGUGCUGUAUUUUGUCAAAUUCUUUUUCUGCAUCUGUUGAGAAGAUCAUAUGAUUCUUGUUUUUAAGUCUAUUAAUAUGAGAAGUUUACAUUAAUUGAUUUCCAUAUGUUGAACCAAUCCUGCAUCCCUGGGAUGAACCCCACUAGAUCAUGGGGCACUUUUUAAUACGUUUUUGUAUGCGAGUUGCCAGGAUUUUAGAAUCUAUAUUCAUUAGGGAUAUUGGUCUGAAGUUUUCUUUCCUUGAUGUGUCUUUGUCUGGUUUUGGUAUCAGGGUGAUAUUGGCCUCAUAAAAUGAGUUUGGAAGGGUUCCCUCCUUUUCUAUUUCAUGGACUACUUUGAAGCAUUUGAUGUUAAUUCUUCUUUGAAAGUCUUGUAGAACUGAGAAUCCAUCUGGGUCUGGGCUUUUCUUGGUUGGUAGGCUUUGGAUGGCAUUUUCUAUUUCAUUACUUGAAAUUGAUCUGUUUAAAUCAUGUAUGACCUCCUCAUUCAAAUUGGGUAGAUCAUAUGUCUCUAGAAAAUUGUUGAUGUCUUCGAUAUUUUCUAUUUUAUUAGAGUAUAAAUUUUCAAAAUAUAUCGAAUUAUCUUCUGUAUUUCAGACAUGUCCAUUGUGAUACUUCCUUCUUCAUCUCAUUUUUUAGUAAUUUGAGUUUUCUCUCUUUUUUUCUUCAUUAACAUGGCUAAGGGUUUUUCUAUUUUACUUAUUUUUUAAUUUUUUUUUUAGAAAUUUAUUGGUUGCUCAAAACAUUACAUUGAUCUUGACACAUCAUAUAUCAUGCAUUUGUUUCAAAUGGGGUAUGAAUUCUUAUUAUUCUCCUGUGUACAGAUUGCAGAAUCAUGUUGAUUAUACAGCCACGUUUAUACAUACUGCCAAACAAGUGUCUGUUGUAUUUUCUAUUUUACUUAUUUUUUUUCAAAAAAACAACUUUUUGUUUUGCCAAUUUCUUCAAUUUUCUUUUGUUUUGAUUUCAUUGGUUUCAGCUUUGAUUUUAAUUAUUUCCUGUCUUCUACUGCUUUUGGUAUUAAUUUAUUCUUCUUUUUCAAGGGUUUUGAGAUGUAGUAUUAGGUCAUUUAUUUGUUGACUUUUAUUUUUUUAAUGAAUGCUUUCAAUGCAAUAAACUUUCCUCUUAGUACUGCCUUCAUAGUGUCCCAGAGAUUUUGAUAUGCUGUAUCAGUGUUUUCAUUUACCUCUAAGAGUUUUUUUUAUUUCAUCCUUGAUUUUUUCUAUUAUCCAUUCAUCAUUGAAUAGUGUAUUAUUUAGUCUCCAUUUGUUAGAGUAGCUUCUAUUUUUUUUUUAUUUUGUCAUUGAUUUCCAAUUUUAUUCAAUUUUGAUCUGAUAGAAUGCAGGGUAUUAUCUUUGUUUUUUUGUAUUUACUAAGAGUUGCUUUGUGGCCUAAGAUAUGGUGUAUUUUAGAGAAGGAGCCAUGUGCUGCUGAGAAGAAAGUACUUUGUUUGUUGAUGGAUGAAAUAUUCCAUAUAUGUCUAUUAAGUCUAAAUUAUUGAUUAUAUUAUUUAUUCUAUAGUUUCUUUAUUUAGUUUUUGUUUGAAAUAUCUGUCUAGUAGUGAGAGGUGUGUUACAGUCACCCAGGAUUAUUAUGUUGUGGUCUAUUUGAUUCUUGAAAUUGAGAAGAGUUUGUUUGAUGUACAUAAAUGCUCCAUUGUUUGGGGCAUAAGUAUUUACAAUUUUUAUGUCUUGCUAAUAUAUAUUUACCUUAAGAAGUAUGAAAUGUCCUUCUUUCUCUCUUCUGAUAACUUUGGCUUGAAGUCUACUUUAUCUGAAAUGAGGAUGGGACUACCUGCUUGUUUAUGCAAUUCAUAUGAAUGAUAUGUUUUUUCCCAUCCUUUCACCUUCAGCCUGUGGAUGUCUUUGUCCAUGAGUUAAGUCUCUUGAAGACAGUAUAUUGUUGGGUCUUGCUUUUUAAUCCAAUCUGCCAGUCUGUGUCUUUUGAUUGAUGAGUUUAGGCUAUUAACAUUCAAGGUUGUUAUUGAGAUACGAUUUGUAUUCCCUGUCAUUUUGACUUAUCUCUGGUUUUUAAUUUGACACAGUUUCUCCUUUAGUUGAAUAUUCCUUUAGUGUGGAAAUGGCAUGGUAUUGGCACCAAAAUAGACAUGUAUAUCAAUGACACAGAAUAGAGGACACAGAGAAAAAUACAAAUACAAUUAUCUCAUACUAGACAAAGGUGCCAAAACAUUCACUGGAGAAAAGAUAGCCUAUUCAACAAAUGGUGCUGGGAAAACUGAAAAUCCAUAUGUAGCAAAAUGAAAUUAAACUUCUAUGUCUCACCCUGCACAAAAAUUUACUCAAAGUGGAUCAAAGACUUAGGCACUAGAACAGAGACCCAUGCCUAAUAGAAGAAAAAGUAGGCCCAAAUUCUCACCAUGUCAGCCUAGGAUCUGACUUUCUUAACAAGAUCGCUAAAGUGCAAGAAGUAAAAUCAGAAUAAAUAAACUGAAUGGAUUCAAAUUAAAAAGCUUCUUCUCAUCAAAAGAAACAAUCAAUAAUGUGAGGAGAGGGCCUACAGAUUGGGAGAAAAUCUUUGCCACAUGUACCCCUGAUAAAGCAUUAAUCUGUAGGAUAUAUAAAGAACUCAAAAACAAAAAAAAACCCUAAUAACCCAAAUGAGCUAAGAAACUGAACAGACACUUCACAGAAGAAGUAAUACAAUCAAUCAACAAAUAUAUAAAAAAGUGUUCAAUAUUUCUAGCAAUUAGAGAAAUGCAAAUCAAAACUACACCAAGAUUUCCUCUCACUCCAAUCAUAAUGGCAAUCAUCAAGAAUCCAGGCAACAAUAAAUGUUAGGAUGUAGGGGCAAAGGUACACUCAUACAUUGCUGGUGGGACUCAAAUUGGUGUAACCACUAUGAAAAGCAAUUUGAAUAUUCCUCAGAAAACUCAGAAAAGAACCACCAUCAACCCAGUUAUUCCACUCCUCAGUUUAUACCCAAAGGACUUAAAAGCAACCUACUACAGUGAUACAGCCAUGUCACUGUUUAUCACAAUUCAAUUCACAAUAGUUAAGCUAUGGAACCAACCUAGGUGUCAUUCAAUAGAUGAAUAGAUAAAGAAAAUGUGAUUAUAUAUAUAUAAAAUAUUCAAUGGAAUAUUACUCAGCUUUAAAGAAGAAUGAAAUCAUGGCAUUUGCCAGUAAAUGGAUGGAGUUGGAGUAUAUCAUGCUAAGCGAAAUAAGGCAAUCCCCCCAAAAUUAAAGGCCAAAUGUUUUCUCUAAAAUGUGGAUGUUAAUUCACAAUAAGGGAAGGGGCACUAGAAAAGAAUAGAGUUACCUUAGAUUAGGUAGAGGGAAGUGAAGGGAGGAGAGGGGAUGUGUGGGUAGGAAGGAUAGUAAAACAAAUCAGACAUUAUUACUGAAUGUAUAUAUGUGACUACAUGAUCAAAAUGAUUCUACAACAUGUACACUCAGAAAAAUGAGAAAUUAUAUCCCAUCUAUGUAUGAUAUGUCAAAGUACAUAAAUGUGUUCUACUGUCAUGUAUAACUAAUUAAAACGAGUACAAAAAUUAAAAAUUAAAAAAGAUUAAGGAUUAAAGCGUGCAGUGGAAGGAAAGGAGGUGCAUUCAUCCUCCAACCCCUGAGGAAGAAUCAUCUGUCACUGGGAGACUUCCAGCAGGAGGUGUUGUGCAUGCUGAAUUUAAGGGAACAGCAUCAAAGCCAGGCGGACAAAGAUGGGUGGAAUGGGGAGGGAAGGUCAGGGAUAUGCAAAGAGAUUUAUGGUGCUCAAAAAAGAGGAACUAUCAUGGGCACAAAAAUAAGCAUGGAAUUUAAAAAAAAUUUAGUUUUUGUGCACACCACAAAUAGUUUGGUUUUAUUUAUUUAUUUAUUUAUUUAUUUAUUUAUGACAGCAAAAUGCAUUACAAUUCAUAUUAUGCAUAUAGAGCACAAAUUUUUCAUAUCUCUGGUUGUACACAAAGUAUCUUUAGAUCUUGCAGAAUGAGACUGGAUGGUGGUAAGUGGAACAGCAGAGACAGGCAGGAAAGGCGCCUUUCUUUUAGAACAAGGUUUGAAUGGAUCAUUUGAUGAACAGACAGAGGGAUGCAAGAGACAGAAGAGUGUAAACUGAGUAACUGUUUAGGCUGCAGUUGCCACAAAGCAGGGAAGACAAGAAAUGCUUGAAUACCUAAAUUAGUGAAGUAGCAGAAAGGCUACAGAAGGGGCCACAGACUUAAGAAAUAAUAUGGAGUUAAAAUUAUCAGAAUGUAUACAAGAGUUUAAAGGAGGAAGGUGUAAGAAUUAUUGCUGACAAGUUUCUAGGAGGCCAGGGAGUGGAGACAAGGACCACAGACCAAGAAGGGGAAGACAUGGGAGGGAUCCAAUGAGGUUCAAAAAGGAUAAAUUGCUUGGAGUAAGGUAUGCCUUAGUGACAAAAGGCACAAAGAAUACUCAUCACUUUAGAUCUUUUAGUUUAAAUAUAUCACUUUAAUGUAAAUGCUGAACUACAUUUAGCCUUAACCUGCCUUCCUAUCUGUACUGGAUCUUUUUGCUACAUCCAAGAUUUUCUAUCGUCUCCUAGUCUCCUAUGUAUACAUUAUGCUUAUUUGCAACUCACUUCUUCCUGGUACCUUUUUAGCCCUUCUUCAUCCACCCUGGUUCUACCAUCUACUAUGUGCAGGACCUUCAGAAAGCUGUGAUAUUUUUCCAAACCUUAAACUUCCUUGUGUACAAAGUGGGGAUGAUAAUACCCAUGGAACUAGGUCAUUGGGUAGAUUAAAUGAAAUAAGCACAGGAGACCACAGGAACAUUGGAAAGAAGCUCUCACCCAGACUUGUAGAGAGGAGUGAGGGUGAGGGGAAUGGAGACAUCUUCACACAAGUGGCAGCCCCCACUUCUGUCUACACUCACUCAGACAUAUCUCUUCUUUGGACGUUGGGAAGCUUCUUCACUCUUGCUCCCACAGAUCUCUUCGCCAUUCCACACCUGUGAUGCUCCAACUCUAUUUUCUUCCCUCUUAAAACAAACACUUCACCGGGUGUAGGGGUUAAGGAGGCAGAGGCAGGAUGAUAGUGAGUUCAAAGCCAGCCUCAGCAAUUUAGCAAGGCCCUAAGCCACUCAUUGCCAUAUUGGUCAGGAGGGGUAGGAAAAGGCCCGAGCUAGAAGGGCCUUUUUAAUAUUAUAUUUAGAGACGGGGUCUCUAAAUAUAAUAUUAAAAAGGGCUGAGGAUGUGGCUCAGUGGCUAAGCGCCCCUGGGUUCAAUCCCUGGUAUCAAACCAAAUGAAACAAAACAAAAUAAAACAAAACACUUCAGAGGUUCACACUGCUCUUAGAUGCCCCCUCUUGACCAAUAUGGCACCAUUUUUCUUUCCUUUCAGUAUCUGAAAAGUCAAGAUUCUCUCCUGCUACAGAACUUUUGAAAAGAACAGUUCUCUCUCCCAGAAAAAGCUCAGCCACCUCUGGGCACCUACUCCUCACUUCCCUCUCUAAGUGGAUCUGAUUUUCCCUUCUAUGUGUGGCUCAACUGUCAUUUCUAUUGGGUUCUAUUCACCUCCUUCUUCAUCCCCAUUCCACAAAGUAUUUCUCUUCUGGAACCUCUGUGAGAGUUGCAGUUGAUCUGUGCACCUUUUUGCAUGUGUUUGUGUGACUUUUACUCAGACAGCACAUAUUGUCUUCAUUCCCCAUACAUCUGAUAUGCACAUGACAUAGCACAGGCAUUCAGCAAAUAUUUCUUGAGUAAAUAAAUGAAUAGUUAAAUAAACAAAGGGAUGAAUUCCUGUGAUAAUUCUUAAAAGACAAGUAAGAGAGGGGCAGGCAAAGGAAAUAGGACAGAGUUUUCCAGGCAGUGGGUAAAUAUGCACAUACAGAGGGAUGUAAACUUAUUUGAGUAAAUGCAAAUUGUCUGAAAGGUCAUACUGUGCACAGGAGACUGGUAAUGUGGGCAGGGCCAAACCAUGGAGGACCUUGAGAAUCAUGAAGAUGUGAAGAGCAAGAAAGGAUCAUCUGGAUUGGUUAUGUGUUCUACAAGAAUCACUUUGGGAUCAUGAUGGAGAAGAAUGUGAAGCGGGAGACCAGGAGAUCAGGCAGGGUCUUGGGAGGUAUAACAAGGUGGUAGCAUUUGGGGUUGGACAAAAGAGGUCAGAGUCAGGAGAAUUAAUCUUUUGCCCUCAUCACAGCUCAUAUUGAAAUAAAAUGUUCUUUCACAGGACAUGGUUCUGGGCUUGUACUUCACAAAUGCCCUAUCUCCUACAUGUAUCCAGGUCCAGGUUGUUAGUAUUGUGUCUCUAUGGUCCCAAAUAAAAGAAAAAAUGGAAUGGAAGUGCCUCUAGAAUAUGGUGGAAGAUGGGAAAGUUGUCAUUCAAUGACAUAAAAAGCUGCAUAUUCAUUGGGAAAGCUGAGCUUCAUCUUAUCUUUUAGAAUAAGGUGUGCUACUUUUGUUCCAUGACAAAUUAACAACAUGUGAACAGGUGGUAUGAAUGAAUAAUCGAUGUAUAAAUAAAUUAUAGUAGCACGCUUCUGGAUGACAUUUUGGCAACAAUUUACCUUCACUGUUAGCUCUUUCAGGGCCAGCUGUCUGGGUGCAUGACCUGUGCAGUCGCACAGGACUAGGCACUCAGAAGGGCCCCAGGUUUGGCAUGCUCCUGCCUUGUUGCCAUUUUUAAAUUCUAAAUAAUUUAAUCUUUAAACUCUGUUUUACAGAUGGAAGCCCUAUGGGACAAGGGAAGAUGCAUAGAAUAGAGGAGGUGAGCCUGAUACAUGUGACUAUUGCCCUCUCUCCAUAUCAUUUGCAACUCAUGUUUGCCAUGUUCCAUGAGCACAGAAUUCCAGGGGAACCAGGAUGCACAGGAGCUCAGAGAGACUGAAAGCAAGUACAGGUGAGAAUGUUAUGGCUACACCUGACUAAACAGACACUGACAGUCCUGAGAGACCAUGCUUUCCAUUUGAACCAGAACUUGCUUCCAAUGCAACAUGAAGGCAACGGUGUAAGAAACACAAUCAACCAAAGAACCUGAGCAUAUCAGUUUCUAUUCAUGUUCCUUUCCUGGAUUAACCAAACACUCAUGCUGAAAACAAUGACCUAGAAGGCAAGGAAAAGAUAGGACAGUCCACGGUUCCUUCCUUUUAGCCCUUCCUUAUUUAUCGAUAAGGUGACAGUAGAAAACCCCUGUGGAAUGUGUAUGUAUAUCUAGAAGUGGAUUAAAAACAGGUGAGUUAGUUGUACAGAGUGUCCUUCUGGUAGGAAAGGAAUAAACAUUCAGGUGCAACUACUAAAUACAAAUUGUAUGAUUUCAGUGGUUCUACAUAUGCAUUAAAUACUCUUAUAUUCAUGUCUAAAUAUGACAUUGUGCAAUAUAAAGACAAAUGAUAAAAUAUAUGUUAAUAUUUAAAAUUUAAUUUUUCUUCCCUUUAAAUGACAACAAAUAACAAAUUUAAAAAAUACCAUGACUUGAGAUAAAGACUAAAGAAGAAAGGAAAGCUAUUUAUUUAUUAUUUAUUUUACCCUGCCUUUUUUUUUAACCCUGCUUUUUGAACAGAGGGUCCUGUAUUCACAUUGUGCAAGAAAUCUGCCAAUUAAUGAAGCCAGCCCUAUUGAAAGGGAAUCAUUACCAGAUACCAAAGCACAGGCAACACUAUCACCAAUCCUGUUGGUAAGCAGUUACAAAACAACUGAGCAAAUUCUACUAUUUUUUAAAGACUGGUUUGUCUAUAUAAACUAUCGUGAUGUUUGCUCCUGGAUUUAUACUCUUCUGUAAAUUUAUCUUGAUUAUAAUGUAAGAGGAUUCUAAUAAAAUGUUCUCUAUUUAUACAUUGCAGCACUUUUCCCAAAUCAGAUGCUCAGGUAUAAUACAAGUGACAGAAAUAGUCAAACUGGAUCUUCAAACCACAAACAUCAAGCUAUCUGAAAACUUUUGAACUUCAUCUGGUCCAAGCACCUGAAAACACUUCAAUUAUAGGCUCCAACUGAGCUUUGGAUUUCUAGGUCAAUAGAAUUUCUGUUCAAAAAGAUUAAACAAAUUAAUAUUAGUAUGAAUUUUAUGCAAUUCUAAAAUAAGAAAAAAUUAAAACACCCAUACAUCCUUUAUUCUCAAUACAACUUUUAUAGAAAAGGAAAUAAAUCUAAUAGUUCUGAAACUUUGAGAGCUUUCUGUGUUUCCCAAGCAAAUGUGUUUGGGCUGCUACUCUUAUAUCCUUAUGUUGUCUCUUGGAUUCAUUUUUUACUAAUUCCUAUAAGACUCUGAAUAUAGUAAUGUGGUAGAUACCUUAAGCCAUCUCCUUGCCUUGAAGCUAAAAGAUUGUUCAGAGUUACUCUAAUAUUUCUUUUUAAAAAAAAUUUUAAUUGAUUUUUUAAAAAAUAAAUGAUAGCAGAAUACAAUACAAUUCCUAUUACACAUAUACAGCACAAUAUUUCAUAUCUCUGGUUGUAAUAUAAAGUAUGUUCAUACCAAUUCGAGGCUUCAUACAUGUACUUUGAAUAAUGAUGUCUAAGAAGUAUAGAUAGUAUUAAUACCAAACAAUAUAGUCCUUCACUGCUCUUUCUAGAAAUGUCUUGUGUUACUAGAAAUUAAGUGGGCCCAGUUGGUGCCAUAACACUUAGGCAUAAUUCUCCCACAGGGCAGUGGGGGGGGGGCGUGUAAUUUUAAGGAAAAUGCCCCAGCCAUUGAUUGUCUGUACCUGUACCUUCUUUUCCAGGGAAAGAUAUUCAUUCUGUGACUAAUAAUUACCAUAAGGCUUGAUAUAUAAAUUACCAAAGGAGAGAUGGCCCAUUGCUUCUAAUUCACAAUAAGGGGGAAAAUCUCUUAAAAUUGGGUUUUGUGGUAGGAAAUACAACAGAGAGGGACAACCAAUAACUGCAUAUGAAAGUGGAUACACUGGUGUUUCCCAUUUUGCAUCUUGUCCAUCACUGGGUCUUUGCCUUCCCUGAUUACAUGUUCUACACCACAGUGAUUUGAGGCAACGCAGUCCUCCUCACUUUAAUCAUGAGUUUAAUGAGAGAAAAAAAAAAACAGUUCCCCAAAAUAUAAUCUAUGUUGCAGACUCCACCCCAGCUAAUAUACACAGUUGUAGGUAUCUAAUUGUGAUCUGUUUGCAAUGGUCAGGAACAGGAGUUGUGUUCUGUGAAAGUGGCAACCAACUCCAGAUCAGAUGAGCUCCCCUGACAGCCCCAGACGGAACAUCAGAGCAAGCCGAGGUGACUUCUGUGUGACAGUGACCAGGGAAGCAUCUGCCAGAGGGGUCAGGUCCCUGCAUUGUGUGCUCAUUUUCUAUUCAAUUGUUAAACCAGUUGUUUCAUUUUCUUUCUUAGAAAAUGUGACCCAUUAUCCAAACUAUAUUCAGAUUGAACAGCACAGAAUUGAGCAUCAAAAAUAUCUGGGUUUGGGACUUUUUUCUUUGUGAUUCCUCACAAAGGAAGGAAAGGCACUGCUAACCAUUUCUUUUACUUGGCAGCCACUCACCUCAUAGUUUUUUCUGAAUGGUCAUCUCAUAGGACACAGUGAUAGAUGCAUUUUUGACAUUAUCUUUCAUUCUCAAAAUAAUACUCCAUGAGAUGAAGAUAUGAGUGUAACUUAUGAACAAGACAGUGUAGUGUACAAUAUAGUCCUUCACUGAUCUUUCUAGAAAUGUCUUUCAUUGAUGUGUACUAUUCCAUGCUGUGAAUCUAUCACAGUUUAUUCAUUUCCCUGCUUAAGGACAUUUGUAUUGUUUUAAGUUGGCACUAUCACAAAUAAUGCUGUCAUGAACAUUUUUAACUAUGCCUUUAGGUACACAUAUGUCCAUUUUUCCUUGGAAUAUACAACUGGGGAAAGAACUGCUGUAUCAGAAUCCCUGCUGAUACUCAAUUUUAGAAGACAAUGCCAAUAUUUUCCAAAUAGAAAGUACUAACAUGUGCUUCACCAAAUUUAUAUUUCCUCUGGCAAUGUCUUUUAUACAUUUCUUAUACUGCUUUUAUUAGCUAGAGUUGCACAUAAGAACUUCACAAAACAUGCAAAACCUGGGGAGGAAUGUUCCAGGUUGAAACAGCAAAGAGAAAGGCCCUGAGGCAUUAUAUGAAUGCCUUGCAUUGACUAUUUACUAAGCUGGUAUUGAGUUUGUGUUUACAUAUACACAUACACAUCUAGACAGAUCAAUAGCCAGAAAUAAUAUUAGUUAAAUAUUUUUCCUUGCCAAUUUGAUGCCAGGUACUAUAUUAGGCAAAACCCCUAUAAAGUAGAUAUGAUUCAAAUUUAUUUAGAUUAAGAAACUUACAUUUAAUGGGACUGACGAUAAUUAAUAGCAAAGUAGACACUGAACCCAAGAUUAUCUGGCUCCAAAGACUGUGCUGUUCAUCAAUAUGCCACAUCAAUAUUGACUGUUUUUAAAGUCAAGGGAGGAGUUGAUGAAUUCACAAAUGGUAUUUGAAACAGAUUUUAUUAACUCCUAGAUGAUAUUAAGCAGAAGUAAACAUGUUCCAGAGUUCUUUCAUUUUUCCAAUAUCUGUGUAGAACAUCCUAGGCAGGAUGGUUGAUGUGUCAUUAAAAAGAGGGAACAUUCCAGGGAGUGGAGUACAUGACAAAUUGUUUGUGAAUACUCUUCAUUUACUGGUAGCUACUGAAGUUGCAUUCCAAUGGAGCUAAAAACAGUCUUAGGUAAUGAUGGCAACUCAUAUUCAUAAAAUACUUUACAUCACUAAAUCAUUACAGGUCAGAAUGCUGCUAGGUCAUAAAGAGCAUGUGUUUCUUCAUAAUAGUGUCACCUUCCUCUCCUCCUCCUUCGCCUCCUCCUCCUUUGCCUCCUCCUCCUCCUCCUCCUUCCCCUCCUCCUCCUUCUCCUCCUGUUCUUUUUCUCCUUCUUCCUCCUUCUCCUUGAAAGAUGCCACUUUUUCAGAGGGUGUGUAGAAAGGGAAUAUAAAUUUUCUUCGUGCUUGUAAUUUGUUUUAUUUCAUUCUUAAAGAUAAAUGCUAAAUUUUAAUCAGCAUAUCAAAAUUCUAUCCUGAUUUAGCCUGUAAGACUCUUCUUACACUUUAAGGCUGAUGUGUUUUGAUUGGUUGGCUAGUGUGGAAAGGUAUUUGACCUUGUGGCUGAUGUUAUGUUGAUGGUUGUUUUUCAAUAUUUGAUUGGCAUAAAGUGUUACUGGUCCAGGCCCCCUGAUAAAUGGUUCAGGGAUGCUUUCUUGAAAUAAAGAGAAUUCCUUGCUUGGAUGACAUUUCCCUUGAUUCUCUUUUUAAGUUUCUAUUAUUCUAAAACAUAGGUAACAUAAAAAGAAACAUUUAAAAGCUAACUUGACUUGGCAUAUGCAAAGGCCAUUUCUGCAUAUCAUAUAGCUGUGCCUAUGGUGUCAUGUUACACCAAAAGGCAACAUGGGAGUCUGGCUUAGAAAUCUGUAGUUAACAGUCAACCCUUUAGAAAGAACAUCUUUUAGUUAAAUAGAGAAGAGUAAAAUAGAGCAGUAAGAAGAGCUGAAGUAUUUUCUUGCAGCAGCUUAUUUAAUUACAUUGUUUCAUAAACCAAUUCUAUUUUGAACACCCCUUUCUAAAAAUUACUAUUGAGCAGACAAGUUACAGCAUCAUUUGCUGCCUGCUGCUUAGGAUUUACAAGUGAUUGCCAGAUGCAAGUUGUAUAAUUAAUCAGCUUGGAAGUAAAGUGAUAACUUCGCCCUCCCUUUAAAAUCAAAACUAAUGAUAUGUGUUGGUACUAUUUUUGCAACUUGAUACUUUCUAUUUAGCAGCCACAUGCAUCCCAGUUACUGCUCCCAAAGGAGCCACUUCAGCCCUCAGUAUGUGGGCAGCUGAGUCCUGGACAAAUUACACAGGUGAGUUGAGCACCUUAAUGUGCUUCACCUUCAGUCACAGUCACAGACAGGGAAGAACCUUCCCAAGCAUUGUUGGAGAAAGGCAUGCUGUUCUGGAGAAGGGCAGACACUCAGCAGGUGCACAGCCCACUCGUGCAACACCAAGAAUGUGCACACCUCAUGAUGGUGUUCAAGGAACACUCCAAUCUUCCAUAUCUGAAUGGGCAGUUAAUUAUUUUUCAGUGUCUCAGGAUUUCAUUAUAAUUGUAAAAAAGAUGACUUCUGAAACAUGAAAAUGUCCUUCAGUAAAGAAAUAACUGAAGCAGACUAAGCAUUUGAUGGAGAACAAUUAAUUUAGAGUCUGAAAUGUUUUAAAAAUCCCACUAUGAAACUCAGAGGAUGAGCCACCACUGCUGAUUUGGAGGUUGGUAGUUAGGUGACUUUGCCCUCCAUGGGUGUCUUCAACCUGGCAUCUAGUUCCUCUGAGUCACUGUCUAUCUAAUUCCUUAUUCUCCAGUGUAUGACUUCAAUGAAUUUUCUUGAUUUAAAUGCUUAGAGAAAGUUAAAAACACAAAUAAAACAUGGCACCAUUAACAUUUCCCUUAGCUGCUAACACUUCCCUUAGUUUUUUCUUUUAACUUUAUGACAUAUCCUUCAAUAUUACUGUGGCAUGAAGUAAUAGACAAAAGUUGACCCACCUCAAUUUACCAUUGCAUCUUGACUCUACUGGACUCUACUUGACCUGGCGUGAUUAGAAUUAAUAAUUUCUAGUGCCAACCACCAAAUAAAAGAGUGUGUAACAGAAUGUCUGCAAUAGAAUUCAUAGAGGGAGGAAGAGUUGUUUUACCAGCUUUAUCCAGGAGUCUCCCCUGCUCUUUGGUUGACUUUGAACUCUGGCCUCUAGGAAAUCUAUUUUGGCAGAAAUUUAGAAUGGAGUUAAUGGCAGUCUUACCAUUAACUAAGAGUUCAGUAUAUUAUGAAGUCUUGAAAUACACUAAGAAGAUUCACAUUGAUGGUUACUUUCUAAAAGUGGCGCCCAUACCCUUGAAAUAUAUUAAUUGUGUUGAGUUAAUGAAAAUCAUGUUGCAGAUUUCAACGUUUACUUGUUUUUUUAAAUCUAUCUCUAUCUAAAAUAUUUGUCCAAUGCACGUGUCUUGAUUUAAAGAGUCUGGUAUAGACUCUGAGAAUGACUCUGAUCUGCAAAUAGGUUACACCCAAAGCAGCUGUAAGCUGUGACUGUGCCUGUCUGCUUCAGUCUCCUAAAGUUAAAUAUGUGUGGGUGUGGCUGUGGGUGUGUACGCAAAUAAAAUGACCAAAAGGAUUUCAGUUUAACAUUUAAAUGUUUCACAGAUUAUCUCUGGGUAGCACUCUAUGGGUGUAUUUUACUCACCAUUUAUCUCUAGCACCUACCAUUCUUAUCAUUCUGCAUUGCAGAAACAGGUGACAGUGAAUAUAUUUUGAGGUCCUUGCUGCUGAGUUGCAUUCUGUAUGCAUUUUGUACUUUCUAAAUUUUUUUUAAAAAUAAACAUCCAUUAACAAUAAUGAAAAA